AUUGAACGCUGGCGGCAUGCCUUACACAUGCAAGUCGAACGGUAACAGGGAGCUUGCCCCGCUGACGAGUGGCGAACGGGUGAGUAAUGCGUCGGAACGUGCCGAGUAGUGGGGGAUAACGCAGCGAAAGUUGUGCUAAUACCGCAUACGUACUGAGGUAGAAAGUGGGGGACCUUCGGGCCUCACGCUAUUCGAGCGGCCGACGUCUGAUUAGCUAGUAGGUGAGGUAAAGGCUCACCUAGGCGACGAUCAGUAGCGGGUCUGAGAGGAUGAUCCGCCACACUGGGACUGAGACACGGCCCAGACUCCUACGGGAGGCAGCAGUGGGGAAUUUUGGACAAUGGGCGAAAGCCUGAUCCAGCCAUGCCGCGUGUCUGAAGAAGGCCUUCGGGUUGUAAAGGACUUUUGUCGGGGAGGAAAUCCCCAGCGCUAAUACCGCUGGGGGAUGACAGUACCUGAAGAAUAAGCACCGGCUAACUACGUGCCAGCCGCCGCCGUAACAC
rnacentral:rRNA from 1 species